rnacentral:misc_RNA from 1 species
UCUCCGUUGGUGAACCAGCGGAGGGAUCAUUACCGAGUUAUCAACUCCCAAACCCCUGUGAACAUACCACAACGUUGCCUCGGCGGGACCGCCCCGGCGCCCCUAGCGGCCUGGAACCAGGCGCCCGCCGGAGGACCCAAACUCUUGCUUUGAACAGUGGCAUACUCUCUGAGUCUCAAAAACAAAAAUAAAUUAAAACUUUCAACAACGGAUCUCUUGGCUCUG